AACAGUCUAUUGUCAGUUGUAUCUACAUACCUGCAGGUCCUCAUGCUUGAUGUGUGAACUGCUGAUUGUCAUUAUUACAACACACAAGCUAUGCAACAGGAUAUACUGUUCUAUUGAGAUACAUUUCUAUAGUUUAACCCAUAUUUACGAUAUUGUAAUCAUUGUUAAUUAAACUACAUUUGAACAGGUGCACCUGUGGAGAGUGCAGGAUGAUGCCCACAGAUGUGGAAAAUGUGUGCUGCAAGCAGCUUAACGCCGUUCAGAAUACAUGUCUGGAGCCUCCAGAGGAGCCAGACUGCAUGACUCUUAAUCCAGGCCUUGAGCCUGUCUGCCUGAACCCCUACUCCCUGCAGAAUGCUCUGAACAUUUAUCAGACAGACCAUGGACCGCUGGAGAUGAAGGAGAGAGCUGUUUAAGUCUGAAAACUGCAUAUUUAUGUAUUACAAUGUAUUACAUUCACAAAAGUUCUAGAUCAGUGGUACUCAGCCUUGUUAGACUUAAGAGCCACAUUGACCAAAAAAUAUUUCAGUAAGAGCCACAAUCAAAAAACCUAUUUCUUACCUAAAAUAUGUGUGGGAAACACAGUGACAUGACUUGCAAAGAAUAAUUUCUGCUGACAAUGUUUCCCUUUUUUAAAUAAUUACUUAUUUUCUUUGAUUUUUCUUUUUCAAACUAGUCCCAAGUGAGCCACAUGUGGCUCGAGAGCCUCAGGUUAAGUAUCACUGCUCUGGACAGGACAAACACAAGGUAGUGAACAUCCAAAAAUUACAAAUGUAUGGUUGUGGAUAAUUCAUGGAAGUUAAAACAGAGAAAGAAAAAAAACCAAAUGUCCAGGCCAAUCCAUACAGCCAAAUAGAUUUCAGACACACUGCAGGUUGAUCCAUCUGUCAUCUUCUUGGAUCAUAAUCUACUUUAUAAGACAGAAAACAUGACAAAACAAGAUUAGAAGACCACUUAACUCAAAAUAAAGCUUGAUGAAUAUAAAAUCACAUUGCUUUUUUGUGUUUGUCAUUAUAGGUGCGCUCGCUACCUGGCCUACAGGUCCUUUGUUUCCUGGUGCUGGGGAUACCUAGGAAAGCACAACCGGGUAGUGAUACCUUCCUGCGUCGUUGUCCGUAUAUCCACCAGGAGUACCCUGAUGAAGGGGAAGAGUACACCGGUUUUAGGCCUCCACUUUAAAUGAUUUAUGUCAUGUAUAGUUAUGUUUGGACAUGUGUUUUAUAGAGUUAUUUCAUUUAUAUAAUAAACUAUUAAUAUCUUGAUUUUACUUUACAGGGACUUUAAGGAACUGCAGGAUUUUGCAAUUCAGUAUUGGAGGUUGCUGCUUGGUGGCAUAUCAUUCUUAUCCAUGUACUUUAAAUACACCCUAAAAACAUUUCAGCUGAUAUUUGGUUGAUAUUUUUGAGUUUAUCAGUUAUUUUCUCUUUUCAUGAGCUACCAUGACAAAUGAAUUUCCCCUAUACCAGAUCAACUGAACUAAUCAAAUAUCUUAAUCACAAUGUUUGUUUUAUUAGAAAGAAUUAUAUGAUCACUUCAUUGUAGAUGACAGACAUAUUAGACUUGCUUUAUAUUAUGAAAACACAUUUUGACGUGUGUCAAGACAAUUGGGAUUUAAGGUUCAAGAUUUCCAUGGCAUAGUGAAAACAAUGAAAUUCUCUGAAUUGUUUUUCAUUUUAUUUAUUACAUCAGUGAAAUCACACCAAGCUUUGUGAAAAUGAUUAUUACCUGUUUGCAUUGAAUAAAUGUGAUUCUAAAGUUAGUUUAAAGACAUCAGUUACAUCAAGUGAUAAAAAACUGAAACUUAAUGUGUCCGACUAAAAUAUCACUGACUUUUCAAUUUUGUGACCUUGUUUAUAUGAACAGCAUACCUUUAAAGUCAAACAUAAAAAAGGCAAUUUGUCAUGGUGUUAGUUUCUGAUGCAUUUGGUGUCACUUUGUGUUUGUUUUCUUUCCUUCUGUUUUCUGUUUUCUCUCUUGCAGUGUGUGUGCAGCGCAGGGCGUGGCUGGCUGAGCUGGAACGAGGAGCACCUGAAUCUCAUCAGAUCAUCACUCAGGCCUUAAAGACAGAUCGAGACUCAUCUCCUGUGCCAGAUUAUUCCCUUUGUAGUUGCCUGCCGGUGAACCUCACCUCCUUGUUUUGGACUUCUGUUUGGCCUUGCUGUUUUUUGAGUUCUCCUGCGCCAGCCCGUCCUCUAUUGCCACCAACUGCCUUAAGCCUUUUAUUUUGCUAUAAGCUACAUUAAAAUGUCUUAAAGACUGA